rfam:Cajanus cajan Scaffold135549_17, whole genome shotgun sequence.
CCGACCUUAGCUCAGUUGGUAGAGCGGAGGACUGUAGUUGGAGUAACAGACAUCCUUAGGUCGCUGGUUCGAAUCCGGCAGGUCGGA